GAUGAAGAACGUAACGAAAUGCGAUACUUGGUGUGAAUUGCAGAAUCCCGUGAACCAUCGAGUCUUUGAACGCAAGUUGCGCCCGAAGCCAUUAGGCCGAGGGCACGCCUGCCUGGGCGUCACACGUCGUUGCCCCCCCAUCUACUCCUUCGGGAUUGCGGGGGGCGGAUGAUGGCCUCCCGUGCGCCUCGUCGCGCGGUUGGCAUAAAUGCCAAGUCCUCGGCGACGCACGCCACGACAAUCGGUGGUUGCGAAACCUCGGUUGCCCGUCGUGUGCGGUCGUCGCGCAUCGAGGGCUCGAAAAAAUUGUCGGGCUCCGGCUCGGCUUUCAACGCGACCCCAGGUCAGGCGGGGUUACCCGCUGAAUUUAAGCAUAUCAAUAAGCGGAGGA
rnacentral:misc_RNA from 1 species